UGCCCUUCCAUGUGAACAGAAACGCCUCUCCCUCUGAGGUGAAAAUGGUGCUGUCAACACCCUCCUCAGAGGGCACAUGCCUUGUGAGUGAGAGUGAUGGAGCUCCGCCAGCAGCCAUGCUCUCCACCCUCCUCACGGGGAAAGGCUGCUCUUUACUGGCCAGCCCUCUGGAAAUGUCCCUCUGAGUCACUCUUAACAAGACAGGAGAAAGCAGUUUCCUGCUUUCACGCCUUCCCUUUUUUCUUUUCUCUCUUCCUUCCUUCUUCCGUUCCUCUUCCUUCCCUCCCUCUUGACCUUCCUCUCUCCCUCCCUUCUUUCCUUCCUUCCUGUGGCUCUCCUUUGUGAGUGACCUACCUCCGCUUCCUACUCUGUGACUUUGCACAUUCAAUCAUUGCCUGGCUCCACCAGCAGUAUAUAAGGUGAAAGAGGAUCCUGCCAGCUGUUCUAGGCCCAGAGGACACCUCUCUCUCUCUCUCUGUCACUCACACACACACACACACACACACACACUCUCUCUCUCUCUCUCACACACACCCACUUAUUGAUGGGGUAAUAGGAUCAAGAGGUAGCUUUGCAUCAUCAAAAAGAAGUCAGUCAUUCUAGCCUGGAGCUUUAGAAGACGAAGUAAAAAAGAAGUCAGACAGUCCUAGCUUUGAAUCCUGGCCCAGCCACUUACUAGGUGGGAGACCUUGGAUGAGGAAACUGAGGCUGAAACAGGCAAUUAAUUUGUGCAGGUGGCACGUUUACUACAUGGUGGAACCAGGAUCUGAACUCAAAUUUGUCUGUGAAUGUUUUCAGAAUAUUCACCUACAUGUUGCCCAAAGUCAAGGCUGCCCUGGGGCAGUGUGUAUACCUGAAUGACAAUCAGUACAGGCACUGAGGGAAGGGAGAACCGAUGCUGGAGAGGCAAGCAUAACUGCCACUGUUAACUUUGUGACCAAACUUCAUGUCUUGUGGCCUAAAGGACAAUCGUAUCCCUUCUGGGGGAAUUUCCCCACCUCCAUGUUGAAGCCAAGGAUGACUAGUACUCCAUGGAAAAGAGGUCAACAUGAUAACCAGGAGAUGUGGUCAUGGGGCAUUAAAAGGUUCGAAGCUGUUCCAGAAAGGAUGUCAUUGAUGUGGAAUACAGGAACUGUGGAUGCCUCCUGAAUGGGAGCUGCAAACGAUUAUCAGAGUCAAGCAAGAGGAAUGGCAAGGCAUGUGCUGAAUAACAUCACAUUAAUAUGGCUCUUAGCUACCUAACCCAUUAGGAGCCAUAAUUAGGAGAGUUUGAAACAGACUGCAAGCAUCUUCUCCAGAAAGAAGCUAGGAGCGAGUCCAGCGGAUUCGUGGAAAUGGAUGGAGGCUGCUGAGUUGAGAGACUGAGAAGUGGAGGUACCUAGGAAGGUCCUCCCUGAAAAUACAUCGGGUUGUAAAACCUGGAAAGAAAUACCUCCAUUUGUCAGGCACUCACAGGGCGCUCUCCUCUGGCAGCUCCCAUGUUGAGCGCCCAGGGCAGCGACCAGACGGCGUCCUGUCCUCCUGCACGGGGCCAGAACUGGAUGGUCCCGCGACACAUCGUGUCUGCAGCUUUAGAGGCCUCCCCAGGAGUGCUACCGCGGUCAUUUCUGCCCAGCUGUAAAAUAACACCCAAUCAGCGAGCCGCCAGCUGCAAACUGUUCCGACCUACUCCUCCCUCCCCGGCUUAAUUCCCACCUAUACCAAAGUGGCCCCACGCGGGCAGAAGCGAAAGACGGAAAUGAGGGGAGGCCAACUACUCGAGAUCUGCGCCCGAAGCAGAUUUUCCACGCGCUCAGAGUAGGGUCGGGGAAAGGCCCACUUGGGGCUUCUGAGAGAGAGGGAAGGGCAGGGAAAGGGCUGCCCCCCAGCAAGACACAGUUGGGUGAACAACUGAGUCUUUGCCUCGUUGACAAAGGAGAAUGAGGGACUCGCGCCAGGCUGGCUUGAACUGACUGGAGAAAAGCGACUUCUGUAAUUCAGGGCCCUCCUCGUGCGAAGGAAACUUUGGCAAAGCAGAAAGACAGGCAUGCAGUUUCCAGGCGGAAAAACGUGAACCAUGGGACAUGAUGGGCUCCAGGGCCGUGGAUGCAGUUGCCCGAGGCCCCAGGGCCGCCCCCGGAAGGCCGGGACUGCCAGGGACUCGGCGUGGGGGUGCUGACUGCCGCUCCAGGCCUCGGGGUUCAAGCACUCCAGCAGCAUCCGCUCACCACGCUCCCCGCCCACUUCCAUGAUCACGAGGGGGCAAGGCUAGCCAAUCCGGGGUGGCCACUGCCCGGCCCUGCGAGGACUCGAGGCGCACUGGGAAACUGCGCGGUGCCUAGAGGUACAAAGAACAGGUCCUGGGAGGGUAGUAGGAGGGGACCUUAGCACAGCCUAUGUCAGUUUGUCAACAAGGAUUUGCUGAGAAGUCGCACUGUGCUCAGCAUAGCGGCACUGCCUACCUAAUGGGCUUUGGGGCAUAGACAGUGAAUAACCUGGCAGUGAUAAUAGUGUGCUGAAAGAAAGGCCAGCCCCAACAGCCACUACAGGAACCUCAGAAAGGAGGGGGCGUCCCUGUUAGUGGCUGAUACUGGAUUUCUCUCAUUGUGUUCGUGGCUGGCGCCAAACCAGAGAUCAUAAUGUAUAACAAAUAAAUGUGAAGUUUCUUACAUCCAAGUGGCCAGGGAAAACCUAUACUAAUUACAUGGUACAAACCCGCUGUGAUCAGGUGCUAAAUUGGGUGGCAGUCAGAGUACAGCUGUAGAGAUAUCUCUGAGGGCCAGAGUGAUCAGGAAAAGCUUUGUGGAAGAGGAAGAACUGGAGUUAGGUGCUGAAUGACGGGCAGGAUAUGGACAAGCAGAGGAAAGUGGGAAGGCGUUCCAGGAGGGAAGGGGCAGCAUAGCCAAAGCCCGGGGGAUGAGCAUGGUGGGUUUAUGGGGUUUUAGAGGGAUUAGCCUGUUUGGAGUGUAGCAGGUGCUCUGAAGAGCAUGGGACAGAAGAGAGCACAGGCAGCUGGAGGGUAGAGAUGGGGGCUAAUUGCAGAAUCCCACAGUGCCUAGGAAGGUCUCAGCUGUCAGGGUCUUCUCCUGAGACUCAUUCUCAGCUCCUUUUGGGGUUUAGGAAAGAUCUUUCAUGAGAGUUCCAAACAUUUUAGUUAAUGUUUAAUUCCUUCUCACUGAAUCCCCAUGGAAGGGGGCAAAAAGCAAGUGCUACUCCUCCAAGGUACUAAAACCCUGGUGCUGAGGAUGAGGCUGCUCCAGAGGGACCUCUGAGAGAGAGAGAGAGAUGGUAUCUUAUGAGUUGCAUAAGUCUUUUAGGCAAGAAAGCAGGAGGAGAUACUGAAGGGACCCCCUAAGGAAGCAGAAAAGCUUUACCUUCUCCUCUGCAAGAGGCAUCAGGAUUCCCUUUGAAAACAGAGCAGAGGACGGCGCAGAAAAAUUCAAGAAUGUUUGCUCUCACCACUUCUAUUUAGCUUUAUACAGGAGAUCCUAGCCAGUGCAAAAGGGCAAGAAAAGACAUUAAAGACACGCAGACUGAAGCAGGAAGAAGUAAAACUGUCCUUAUUACAGGUGGCAUGAUUUUGUAUGUAGAAAAGCCUAAGAAAUCUACAAAAAUCUACUAGAACGAAUAAGCAAACUUAGUAAGGUUGCAGGAUACACUAUAACAAACUGUCCAAAAAUGAAGUUAAGAAAACAAUUCCACUCAUAAUAGCAUAAAAAGAAUAAAAUACUUAGGAAUAAUUUUAACAAAACAAAUGUAAGACCUAUGUACUGAAAACCUUAAAACAUUGCUGAGAAAAUUCUAAAAAGAUCUAAACAAAUGGAAAGACACACAAUGUUCAUGGAUCGGAAGAUUCAAUAUUGUUAAGAUAGUAAUUGUCCCCAAAUUAAACUAUAGUUUCAGCUCAACCCAUAUCAAAAUAGGUUGUUUUUUGUAGGACUUGACAAGCUGAUACUAAAAUUUAUAUGAAAAUGCAAAGGAUCUAGAGAAAUCAAAACAACUUUGAAAAAGAACAAAGUUGGAGGAUUUAAAAAAUAAAGCUACAGUGAUCAAAACAGUGUGGUAUUGACUUAAAGAUAGGCAUACAUCCAUAGAACAGAGUAUAUUCCAGAAAUAAACUCUUACAUUUAUGGUCUAUUGAUUUUUGACAAGGGUGUCAAGGUAAUUCAAUAGUCAUCCAUAAAUGAUGCUGGAGCAAUGGAUAUUCCUGUGCAAAAAAAAAAAAACUUACAUUCUUACCUCACAACAACCAUAUGCAAAAAUUAACUAAAAAUGAAUCACAGCCUAAAUGUAAGAGUUAAACUAUAAAAUUCCUAGAAGAAAUCAUAGGAGAAACAUGGAUUAGGGCAAAGGCUUCUUAGAUGUGAUACCAAAAACGUGAUCCUUAAAAAAAUUAAUAAACUCAACUUUAUCAAAAUUUAAAACUUUUGUUUUUCAGAAGAUACCAUUGAGAAAAUGGAAAGGCAAGCCACAGACUUGAAUAAAAUAUUUGCAAAUCAUAUACCUGAUAAGGUAUUUAUAUUCAGAAAUAUAAAGAAUUCAAUAAGACAAACUGAUUUUUUUAAUGAGCAAGAUUUGAAUAUAUAUUGCACCAAAGCAGACAUAUGAAUGGUGAAUAAGCAUAUAAAAAGAUGUUCAACAUCAUUACUCAUUAGAGAAAUUCAAAUUAAAACUAUAAUGAACUAUUAAUACCCACUGACAAUAUCAAGUGUCAGCAAGGAUGUGGCAAAAUUGAAACCAUAGAAUGGUACAGCUAAUUUAGAUAAUUGUUUGGAAGUUUCUCAAAAUGUUAAAUAUAUUUGCUAUAUGACCCAGCAAUUAAACUCCUAAAUAUCUACCCAAGAGAAAUGAAGACACAGAUUCACAUAAAGACUUAUAUGCAAAUGUUCAUAGCCAUGUUAUACGUACUAGCCCAAGCUGGAAAUAAUCCAAAUGUCCUUUAGCUGGUGUAUAAACAAAAUGUGGUAUAUUCAUACAAUGGACUACUACUUGGCAAUAAAAAGGAAUGAACUACAGAUACAUGCAACAAUAUGGAUGAAUUUCAAAAACAUGCUAAGUAGAAAAAGUCAGAUAAAAAAUGUUUUGUAUAAUUUCACUUAUGUGAAAUUUCUAGAAAAGGCAAAAUAUAGAAGUAUUCUAAAGUUGAAUUAUUAUUAUAAUUGUGAUUAUUGUACAAGAGUAUAAAUUUACUUAAAAUCAAACAGUACCCUUAUAAUAGGUAAAUUUUAUGGUAUAUAAAUUAUACUUCAAUAAAGCUGUUAAAGGACAGAGAGACUGCUAGAUAGGUCCUUGGGGAGAGGGUGGGGUGUGUGUGUGUGUUUGUGUGUAUGUGUGUGUGUGCGGUUAUAGGAGGGCAGAAAACACCUAUGGGAGAUAGUAAUGAAUUUAAGUGCAAUGAAAAAACACAGGGGCUCUGGAGCCAGCAUGCUAGGUUUGAAUCUUGGUUCUACUACUUACUAUAUGAACUUGAGACAAAUUACUUACCCUCUUCAAGCCUCAGUUUUUCCCUCUGAAAUGAGGCUAAUGGUAAAUCUCAAGGUAGUUGUACCACUAAAAAUGAUAUAUAUAUUGGCUGGGUGCAGUGGCUCAUGCCUGUAAUCCCAGCACUUUGGGAGACCUAGGUAGGAGGAUUGCUUGAGGCCAGGAAUUGAAGACCAGCCUGGGCCACAUAGCAAGACCCUGACUCUAGAAAAAAUAAGAAAUUAGCCAGGCAUGGUGGCAUCUAUAGUUCUAGCUAUUUAGGAUGCUGAGGUGGGAGGAUCAGUUGACAGGAGUUUGAGGCUGCAGUGAACUAUGAUUGCGCCACUGCACUCCAGCCUGGGUGACAGAGCAAGACCUUGUCUCUAAGAAAAAAAGAAAAAAAAAGAAUUAAAAAUAUAAAAAUAAUGUAUAUUGAAGGUAAUGUAUGGGAUGUGAGGGAAAAUUCUGAAACCAAUUACUUCUACAGAAAAUUCAGAGCUUUGUUGUAACUG
rnacentral:lncRNA from 10 species